rnacentral:rRNA from 1 species
GACGAACGCUGGCGGCGUGCCUAAUACAUGCAAGUCGAACGCAGUUGCGAACGGGUGAGUAACGCGUAGGUAACUGCCUCAUAGCGGGGGAUCACUAUUGGAAACGAUAGCUAAUACCGCAUACUUUGAGAUGGACCUGCGUUGUAUUAGCUAGUUGGUGAGGUAAAGGCACACCAAGGCGACGGUACAUAGCCUACCGGAGAAGGGGAUCGGCCAAAAUGGGACUGAGGCACGGCCCAGAAUCCUACGGGAGGGAGCAGUAGGGAAACUGUGGGAAUGGGUGGAAGUCCGACCGGACAACGGCGGGUGAGUGGAGAAAGUUUUCCGAUCGUAAAGCUCUUUUGUUAGGGAAACGGUAACUAACCAGAAAGGGACGGCUAACUACGUGCCAGCAGCCGCGGUAAUUC